rnacentral:rRNA from 1 species
CAGGGAAUCUUGCACAAUGGGCGCAAGCCUGAUCCAGCCAUGCCGCGUGAGUGACGAAGGUCUUCGGAUUGUAAAGCUCUUUUUGGCGGGGACGAUAAUGACGGUACCCGCAGAAUAAGCCCCGGCUAACUUCGUGCCAGCAGCCGCGGUAAUACGAAGGGGGCUAGCGUUGUUCGGAAUUACUGGGCGUAAAGCGCACGUAGGCGGAUUUGUAAGUCAGGGGUGAAAUCCCGGGGCUCAACCUCGGAACUGCCUUUGAUACUGCAAGUCUCGAGUCCGGAAGAGGUUAGUGGAAUUCCCAGUGUAGAGGUGAAAUUCGUAGAUAUUGGGAAGAACACCAGUGGCGAAGGCGGCAUCCUGGACCGGUAUUGACGCUGAGGCGCGAAAGCCAGGGGAGCAAACGGGAUUAGAUACCCCUGUAGUCCCUGAGCGGGCUGGCAAGGCG